GGGCUGCCCUCCAGCCUACACCGGGACGACUUUAGCUACUUCCAACUCCGGGCUCACUUGUACCAGGCCCGAGGUGUGUUGGCAGCAGAUGACAGUGGCCUCUCGGACCCCUUUGCUCGAGUCCUCAUCUCUACCCAGUGCCAGACCACACGGGUCCUGGAGCAGACGCUGAGCCCUCUGUGGAAUGAACUCCUGGUAUUUGAGCAGCUGAUCGUGGAUGGGAGGAGGGAGCACCUGCAGGAGGAGCCUCCAUUAGUGAUCAUCAAUGUAUUUGACCACAAUAAGUUUGGCCCCCCCGUGUUCCUGGGCAGGGCACUGGCCGCCCCAAGGGUAAAGCUGAUGGAGGACCCAUACCAACGCCCGGAGUUGCAGUUCUUCCCCCUGAGGAAGGGACCCCGGGCAGCCGGAGAGCUCAUUGCCGCCUUUGAACUCAUUGAACUAGACUACAGUGGCCGACUUGAGCCCUCAGUGCCCAGUGAUGUGGAGCCCCAGGAUCUGGCACCCCUGGUUGAGCCCCACUCUGGACGCCUGUCCCUUCCACCCAACGUGUGCCCAGUGCUCAGGGAGUUCCGUGUUGAGGUGCUGUUCUGGGGUCUUAGGGGACUUGGUCGUGUGCAUCUGUUCGAGGUGGAGCAGCCCCAGGUUGUACUGGAGGUGGCUGGGCAACGUGUGGAGUCUGAGGUCCUGGCCAGCUACCGUGAGAGACCCAAUUUCACUGAGCUUGUCAGGCAUCUGACAGUGGACUUGCCGGAGCAGCCUUACUUGCAGCCUCCACUCAGCAUCUUGGUGAUUGAGCGCCGGGCCUUUGGCCGCACAGUCCUUGUGGGUUCCCACAUUGUCCCCCACAUGCUGCGAUUCACAUUUCGGGGUCAUGAGGAUCCUCCUGAGGAGGAAGGAGAGAUGGAGGAGACAGGGGAUAUGAUGCCCAAGGGACCUCAAGGACAGAAGUCCCUGGAUCCCUUCUUGGCUGAAGCGGGUAUAUCCAGACAGCUCCUGAAGCCUCCUCUGAAGAAGCUCCCACUAGGAGGCCUCCUAAAUCAAGGCCCUGGGCUGGAGGAGGACAUCCCAGAUCCAGAAGAGCUCGACUGGUGGUCCAAGUACUAUGCGUCGCUGCAGGAGCUCCAGGGGCAGCACAACUUGGAUGAAGAUGAAAUGGAUGAUCCUGGAGAUUCAGAUGGGGUCAACCUCAUUUCUAUGGUUGGGGAGAUCCAAGACCAGGGUGAGGCUGAAGUCAAAGGCACUGUGUCCCCAAAAAAAGCAGUUGCCACCCUGAAGGUGACUGGGUACUGGGAAGAGGAAAGUCUCCUUUGGAUUCUGGACAUCGGGCUGUUGCUGAAGUCCUUGCCUUUUAGAUCUACAACAGGUCCCUGGAGGAAGAAUUUAACCACUUUGAAGACUGGCUGAAUGUGUUUCCUCUGUCCCGAGGGCAAGGGGGCCAGGAUGGAGGUGGAGAAGAGGAAGGAUCUGGACACCUUGUGGGCAAGUUCAAGGGCUCCUUCCUCAUUUACCCUGAAUCAGAGGCAGUGUCGUUCUCUGAGCCCCAGAUCUCCCGGGGGAUCCCACAGAACCGGCCCAUCAAGCUCCUGGUCAGAGUGUAUAUUGUAAAGGCUACCAACCUGGCUCCUGCAGACCCCAAUGGCAAAGCAGACCCUUACGUGGUGGUGAGCGCUGGCCGGGAGCGGCAGGACACCAAGGAACGCUACAUCCCCAAGCAGCUCAACCCCAUCUUUGGAGAGAUCCUGGAGCUAAGCAUCUCUCUCCCAGCUGAGACGGAGCUGACGGUCGCCGUAUUUGAUCAUGACCUCGUGGGUUCUGACGACCUCAUCGGGGAGACCCACAUUGAUCUGGAAAACCGAUUCUAUAGCCACCACAGAGCAAACUGUGGGCUGGCCUCCCAGUAUGAAGUAGAUGGUUACAAUGCCUGGCGUGAUGCAUUCCGGCCUUCGCAGAUCCUGGCGGGGCUGUGCCAACGCUGUGGCCUCCCUGCCCCUGAAUACCGAGCCGGUGCUGUCAAGGUGGGCAGCAAAGUCUUCCUGACACCACCGGAGACCCUGCCCCCAGGCAGCAGCAGCCCCACAGUGGCGAGCGGGGACCCUGAAGAGGCCCAGGCAUUGCUUGUGCUGCGGCGCUGGCAGGAAAUGCCGGGUUUUGGGAUCCAGCUGGUACCCGAGCAUGUAGAAACCAGGCCUCUCUACCAUCCCCACAGCCCAGGGCUGCUGCAGGGAUCUCUUCACAUGUGGAUUGACAUCUUUCCUCAAGAUGUGCCUGCUCCACCCCCAGUUGACAUCAAGCCUCGGCAGCCAAUCAGCUAUGAGCUCAGAGUUGUCAUCUGGAACACGGAGGAUGUGGUUCUGGAUGAUGAGAAUCCACUCACCGGAGAGAUGUCGAGUGACAUCUAUGUGAAGAGCUGGGUGAAGGGGUUGGAGCAUGACAAGCAGGAGACAGACGUUCACUUCAACUCCCUGACUGGGGAGGGGAACUUCAACUGGCGCUUUGUGUUCCGCUUUGACUACCUGCCCACGGAGCGGGAGGUGAGCGUCCGGCGCAGGUCUGGACCCUUUGCCCUGGAGGAGGCUGAGUUCCGGCAGCCUGCAGUGCUGGUCCUGCAGGUCUGGGACUAUGACCGCAUCUCUGCCAAUGACUUCCUUGGAUCCCUGGAGUUGCAGCUACCAGACAUGGUGCGUGGGGCCCGGGGCCCCGAGCUCUGCUCUGUGCGGCUGGCCCGCGAUGGGGCCGGGUCGAGGUGCAAUCUGUUUCGCUGCCGCCGCCUGAGGGGCUGGUGGCCGGUAGUGAAGCUGAAGGAGGCAGAGGACGUGGAGCGGGAGGCGCAGGAGGCUCAGGCUGGCAAGAAGAAGCGAAAGCAGAGGAGGAGGAAGGGCCGGCCAGAAGACCUGGAGUUCACAGACACGGGUGGCAAUGUGUACAUCCUCACGGUGGGUGCCCGUGGGCAGAGGCCAGGCUGAGCUGGGGCCUGAGCCCGCCCUCUGCUCCCAGUGAUGCAGGAGUGUCUUUUUCAGGGCAAGGUGGAGGCAGAGUUUGAGCUGCUGACUGUGGAGGAGGCCGAGAAACGGCCAGUGGGGAAGGGGCGGAAGCAGCCAGAGCCUCUGGAGAAACCCAGCCGCCCGAAAACUUCCUUCAACUGGUUUGUGAACCCGCUGAAGACCUUUGUCUUCUUCAUCUGGCGCCGGUACUGGCGCAUCCUGGUGCUGCUGCUGCUACUGGUGCUGCUCACCGUCUUCCUCCUCCUGGUCUUCUACACCAUCCCUGGCCAGAUCAGCCAGGUCAUCUUCCGUCCCCUCCACAAGUGACUCUCGCUGACCUUGGACACUCACCCAGGGUGCCAACCCUUCAAUGCCUGCUCCUGGAAGUCUUUCUUACCAAUGUGAGCUACCCCAGAGUCUAGUGCUUCCUCUGAAUAAACCUAUCACAG
rnacentral:sRNA from 1 species